rnacentral:ncRNA from 1 species
AAGGAGCAUUUAUGCAGCGUGCGGAAAAUGCUUAAAAAGUAUGAAUAAGUGUGAUGUAACGUGACGACGUUAACACUAGAAUACAUGCGCUGCGAGAAGGCGUGACAGCGCCUACAAAGGGUGCUUUGGAGCCAGCUUGUGUAAGCUUGCAGUUCAAUUUGGGUGUAAAAACGGAAGACUAAUCGAACUGCCUAGCAGCUGGUUCCCCCUGAAGUUGCUUCCAGGAUAGCAAAAACACAGUUAUAUUCGAUUAAGCGAAUUAUUAGAGGAAUUGGGAACGAAACGUCCGCAACUUAUCCUCAGACAUUCAGUGGGUAUGAAGUUUCGCUUGCUUAAAUAUUUUGAAGCGAUAGCAGUGAAUGUGUGCUUUAGAACAUCAGCAAGCUGCAGCUCAUUUACAGUGAACUGCUGCCGUUUUGGCUUGGUGUGAGGCAUACUGCCAAGGAGGUGCUUACUAAAAGCAAAAGUUAACCUAAGACUGAGAAGUAGCAAACGAUCAAAAGGGCUUAGUAGACCCAUACAAAAUU